rnacentral:lncRNA from 1 species
AGAGGAGUUGAUGAGCGGUAGAGGGUAGGUGCGGCGUUAGGGUUAGGUGCAAUAAAGGCUAGGAUUUUCUGAAAAUGUUUUAGUUUUGGGCUUGUUGGGCCUUUAGUUUUUUUUUCUUUUUGGGCUGUAAUUUUAUUGUUUUGGGUUAGGUCUGUUUUAGGGUAUUGGGUUUGGUUUAAGGUUUAGGUAAUUGGGUUUUUGGGCCCUAUUUUUAUUUGGUGCGGGCCCGAGCAAAUUGGGCUGUACAUCGGUCAUCUUCAACCUUCAAAAUUGUUGUAGAAUCUUUCUGCUUCCUU